CAGUCGCCACGGUAACACGUAGGGUGCAAGCGUUAAUCGGAAUUACUGGGCGUAAAGCGUGCGCAGGCGGUUAUAUAAGACAGAUGUGAAAUCCCCGGGCUCAACCUGGUAACUGCAUUUGUGACUGUAUAGCUAGAGUACGGCAGAGGGGGAUGGAAUUCCGCGUGUAGCAGUGAAAUGCGUAGAUAUGCGGAGGAACACCGAUGGCGAAGGCAAUCCCCUGGGCCUGUACUGACGCUCAUGCACGAAAGCGUGGGGAGCAAACAGGAUUAGAUACCCCAGUAGUCCCUGUCUCUUAUAU
rnacentral:rRNA from 1 species